rnacentral:lncRNA from 10 species
GGCCUGUAAAAUUCUUUUUAGAAGGGAAAUUUAACUUUGUAUGUUCUUUACCAGAAUGGGAUUGCACUAAUUUUUUCCCCUGCUUAAAUUUGGCUUACUAUAUAUUUUAAAAGAAAACUUUCCCUUUUCCAUUUAAUUUGGUGUGUUUAUAUGAUUUCCUUAAUGAAUUGUUUCCUUUCCUCACAGAGUGGGUUCAGAUGGCUCCAACUCUAUUUUCUAAAUUUAUUCCAAACAUUCUCCCUCCGGCGGUGGAAUCUGAACUUUCUGAAUAUGCUGCUCAAGAUCAGAAAUUUCAAAGAGAACUUAUACAGAAUGGUUUUACAAGGCAAGGGUGACCAGUCCCGGAAGAGAGCUGGGGAUGAGUUGGCUUAUAAUAGCUCGUCAGCAUGUGCAAGUUCCAGGGGGUACAGAUAGUGAAUGUAUUGAAUAUGCUUUCCUUCCUGAAAAGAGGACACACUGGAGCUGCAGAGACUGUAUUCAGAGCACAGUGGGGGCUGCACACACUCAGGAGCUCUGUCACAAAGCUGUUCAUGGAAGAGGAUGUUGGACUUCUUACUUGGUUUGUAAUUUUAAA